rnacentral:sRNA from 1 species
GCUGGGUAGGGUGACACAUGCCUGUAAUCCCAUCUGCUCAGGAGGCUGAGGCAGGAGGACCGCAAGUUCAAAGCCAGCCUCAGCAAAAGUGAGUUGCUGAGCAACUCAGUGAGACCCUGUCUCUA